AAGGGAAAAUGCCUUUUUGAAAAAGGUUUAACAGUAUGAUCUUGUGAAUUGAUCUGAGUUAAGCUGCAGUGACUAGUGAAUUGUAUUCAACUUUCUGUGAG